GAAUAAAGAGUUGGCAGAUCCUAACAUACUGGAUCCCAUCUGAUCUUGGAAGCUAAGCAGGAUCGGGCCUGGUUAGUACUUGGAUGGGAAACCACCCAGGAAGACCAGGCGCUGUAGGCA
rnacentral:rRNA from 1 species